rnacentral:rRNA from 1 species
CCUACGGGCGGCAGCAGUAGGGAAUCUUCGGCAAUGGACGAAAGUCUGACCGAGCAACGCCGCGUGAGUGAAGAAGGUUUUCGGAUCGUAAAACUCUGUUGGUAGAGAAGAACGUCGGUGAGGGGGGAAAGCUCAUCAAGUGACGGUAACUACCCAGAAAGGGACGGCUAACUACGUGCCAGCAGCCGCGGUAAUACGUAGGUACCGAGCGUUGUCCGGAUUUAUUGGGCGUAAAGCGAGCGCAGGGGGUUAAUUGAGUCUGGUGUAAAAGGCGGUGGUUAAACCAUUGUAUGCAUUGGAAACUGGUAGACUUGAGGGCAGGAGAGGAGUGUGGAAUUCUAGGUGUAGCGGUGAAAUGCGUAGAUAUAAGGAGGAACACCGGUGUCGAAAGCGGCUCUCUGGCCUGUAACUGACACUGAGGCUCGAAAGCGUGGGGAGCAAACAGGAUUAGAUACCCGUGUAGUC